GUCAGCGACUUAUAUUCUGUAGCAAGGUUAACCGAAUAGGGGAGCCGAAGGGAAACCGAGUCUUAACUGGGCGUUAAGUUGCAGGGUAUAGACCCGAAACCCGGUGAUCUAGCCAUGGGCAGGUUGAAGGUUGGGUAACACUAACUGGAGGACCGAACCGACUAAUGUUGAAAAAUUAGCGGAUGACUUGUGGCUGGGGGUGAAAGGCCAAUCAAACCGGGAGAUAGCUGGUUCUCCCCGAAAGCUAUUUAGGUAGCGCCUCGUGAAUUCAUCUCCGGGGGUAGAGCACUGUUUCGGCAAGGGGGUCAUCCCGACUUACCAACCCGAUGCAAACUGCGAAUACCGGAGAAUGUUAUCACGGGAGACACACGGCGGGUGCUAACGUCCGUCGUGAAGAGGGAAACAACCCAGACCGCCAGCUAAGGUCCCAAAGUCAUGGUUAAGUGGGAAACGAUGUGGGAAGGCCCAGACAGCCAGGAUGUUGGCUUAGAAGCAGCCAUCAUUUAAAGAAAGCGUAAUAGCUCACUGGUCGAGUCGGCCUGCGCGGAAGAUGUAACGGGGCUAAACCAUGCACCGAAGCUGCGGCAGCGACACUGUGUGUUGUUGGGUAGGGGAGCGU
rnacentral:rRNA from 1 species